GCUACUGCUCCGCACAACGGCACUCCGAUCACAGGACAGAAGUAGUCUUUCCCCGUCAUCCAGGAUGAUUCUUUUGGGUGUGAUCUCUAGGCCAGGGACACCUCUGAUGUCAUUCCUGCUUGGCAGGUCAAUAGCCACAUCUGUUUUGAGGACUAUGUACUUCUUGGAGUUGCUAGCAGUCACCUCCACGUGGAGACUAUCUGAGGGUCUCCCCUUGGACUACAGCUCCCUGAUCACAGAAGAGGAACAUAAUCUCUGGUCCUACUGAAUGAUGCAGAUUAAAGGAAACUUGCUAGGAGUUUGGGUCACAAAGAAUGAGGGAAUGAAGCGACUAUAUGAUCAUCCCCAGAAUGACCCUUAUGUAUUUUUCAAAGUCAAGUAUUUUGGAGUUUGGGCAAAAGGUUCUAGUUUUCAAAAAAUAAAUAAAUAAUUUUC